AGUCCAAUGAUCUGUAGGUCUAUAGUCCAAAGAUCUGUAGGUCUACUGUCUAAAGAUCUGUAGGUCUACAGUCCAAAGACCUGUAGGUCUACAGUCCAAUGAUCUGUAGGUCUAUAGUCCAAAGAUCUGUAGGUCUAUAGUCCAAAGAUCUGUAGGUCUACAGUCCAAAGACCUGUAGGUCUACAGUCCAAUGAUCUGUAGGUCUACAGUCCAAUGAUCUGUAGGUCUAUAGUCCAAUGAUCUGUAGGUCUACAGUUCAAUGAUCUGUAGGUCUACAGUCCAAAGACCUGUAGGUCUACAGUCCAAUGAUCUGUAGGUCUACAGUCCAAUGAUCUGUAGGUCUAUAGUCCAAAGAUUUGUAGGUCUACACUCCAAAGAUCUACACUCCAAAGACAGUCCAAAGAUCUGUAGGUCUACAGUCUAAGGAUCUGUAGGUCUACAGUCCAAAGAUCUACACUCCAAAGACAGUCCAAAGAUCUGUAGGUCUACAGUCUAAGGAUCUGUAGGUCUACAGUCCAAAGGUCUGUAGGUCUACAGUCCAAAGGUCUGUAGGUCUAUAGUCCAAAGAUUUGUAGGUCUACAGUCUAAGGAUCUGUAGGUCUACAGCUCAAUGAUCUGUAGGUCUACAGUCCAAUGAUCUGUGGGUCUACAGUCCAACGAUCUGUGGGUCUACAGUCCAACGAUCUGUAGGUCUACAGUCCAAAGGUCAGUAGGUCUACAGUCCAAAGGUCAGUAGGUCUACAGUCCAAAGGUCAGUAGGUCUACAGUCCAACGAUCUGUAGGUCUACUGUCUAAAGAUCUGUAGGUCUACAGUCCAACGAUCUGUAGGUCUACUGUCUAAAGAUCUGUAGGUCUACAGUCCAAAGUCCACAGAUCUACACUCCAAAGACAGUCCAAAGAUCUGUAGGUCUACACUCCAAAGACAGUCCAAAGAUCUGUAGGUCUACAGUCCAAAGGUCUGUAGGUCUACAGUCCAAAGAUCUGUAGGUCUACAGUCAAAAGAUCUACACUCCAAAGACAGUCCAAAGAUCUGUAGGUCUACAGUCCAAAGAUCUGUAGGUCUACAGUCCAAAGAUCUACACUCCAAAGAAGUCCAAAGAUCUGUAGGUCUACAGUCCAAAGAUCUGUAGGUCUACAGUCCAUAGACCUGUAGGUCUACAGUCCAAAGGUCAGUAGGUCUACAGUCCAAAGGUCAGUAUGUCUACAGUCCAAAGGUCAGUAGGUCUACAGUCCAAUGAUCUGUAGGUCUACUGUCUAAAGAUCUGUAGGUCUACAGUCCAAAGAUCUGUAGGUUUACAGUCCAAAGAUCUGUGUCUACAAUCCAAAUAUCUGUAGGUCUACAGUCAAAAGAUCUGUAGGUCUACAGUCCAAAGAUAUGUAGGUCUACAGUCCAAAGGUCAGUAGGUCUACAGUCUAAUGAUCUGUAGGUCUACAGUCCAACGAUCUGUAGGUCUACAGUCCAAAGAUCUGUAGGUCUACAGUCCAAUGAUCUGUAGGUCUACUGUCCAAAGAUCUGUAGGUCUACAGUCCAAUGAUCUGUAGGUCUACAGUCCAAUGAUCUGUAGGUCUACAGUCCAACGAUCUGUAGGUCUACUGUCUAAAGAUCUGUAGGUCUACUGUCUAAAGACCUGUAGGUCUACAGUCUAAGGAUCUGUAGGUCUACAGUCAAAGAUCUGUAGGUCUACAGUCUAAGGAUCUGUAGGUUUACAGUCCAAAGUUCUGUAGGUCUACAGUCCAAAGUUCUGUAGGUCUACAGUCCAAAGACCUCCUUCCAGAUGUUUUGUGGCCCACCUGCAGGUCCCUGAAGGUCUUGUGGUCUGGAUGAGUCCAGGUCUGGACUCUUGAAAUAAUCUCUUUGAACUUGUUUGCAUGAUUUUCUGACUGCUGUGUUUUUUAACAGUCCAGAUCCAAAACCCCAAACCUUUGUUCUGUUGAAAUAAAACAGAAACCAGUUUUGAUUCAGAA